GCCCACUUGGCCAAGCGGUAAGGCGUGUCACUCGUACAGGUCACGUGACCUCCACUUGGCUAUGACAAGAUCAGCUGUUCGAAUCAGCUAGUGGGCA